rnacentral:rRNA from 1 species
AUUGAACGCUGGCGGCAUGCCUUCCACAUGCAAGUCGAACGGUAACGGGCCUUCGGGUGCCGACGAGUGGCGAACGGGUGAGUAAUGUAUCGGAACGUACCUUUCAGUGGGGGAUAACGUAGCGAAAGUUACGCUAAUACCGCAUAUUCUGUGAGCAGGAAAGCAGGGGAUCGCAAGACCUUGCGCUGAUUGAGCGGCCGAUAUCAGAUUAGCUAGUUGGUGAGGUAAAGGCUCACCAAGGCGACGAUCUGUAGCGGGUCUGAGAGGAUGCUCCGCCACACUGGAACUGAGACACGGUCCAGACUCCUACGGGAGGCAGCAGUGGGGAAUUUUGGACAAAUGGGGGGCAACCCUGGAUCCAGCCAUGCCGCGUGAGUGAAGAAGGCC